rnacentral:rRNA from 1 species
CCUACGGGUGGCAGCAGUGAGGAAUAUUGGUCAAUGGACGAGAGUCUGAACCAGCCAAGUAGCGUGAAGGAUGACUGCCCUAUGGGUUGUAAACUUCUUUUAUAUGGGAAUAAAACGUUCCACGUGUGGGAUUUUGUAUGUACCAUAUGAAUAAGGAUCGGCUAACUCCGUGCCAGCAGCCGCGGUAAUACGGAGGAUCCGAGCGUUAUCCGGAUUUAUUGGGUUUAAAGGGAGCGUAGGUGGAUUGUUAAGUCAGUUGUGAAAGUUUGGGGCUCAACCGUAAAAUUGCAGUUGAAACUGGCAGUCUUGAGUACAGUAGAGGUGGGCGGAAUGCGUGGUGUAGCGGUGAAAUGCUUAGAUAUCACGAAGAACUCCGAUUGCGAAGGCAGUUCACUGGACUGCAACUGACGCUGAGGCUCGAAAGUGUGGGUAUCAAACAGGAUUAGAUACCCUAGUAGUC